rnacentral:sRNA from 1 species
AAAAGGGGGGGGGGAGCGUUUUUGAGAGGGAAGAGAGAAGACCAGAGAGAGAGAAACUCACCCAUCUUCAUUCUUCUUCUCCUUCAAUUAUUUUUCUUUGUUUCUUCUUUAGAAUCAAAAGUUCUUUUGACCCAAUUGUUUUUCUUCUUCAAAUUUGGGUUUUUUCCUCUUUCUCGGACCAAACCCUAGAACAGUGAGCAAUGAAGAUUGAAGGCUUAGUUUUUUUUUUUUAUUUUUUUGUGCGAGGGAGAGCACCAAAUGUUGAAUCCGAGUAAGAUCGGUGGUUAGUGUGAGGCACUAAGAGAAUCAGUUUGCGAGUCAAAGAGAGAACACAGGACUGGGAGAGCAAGAUACAUAAUGUUCGAACCAAGGGUUACCGUAAAGAGGAGGAACAGGUCAUAGAAAACGCGAAUUUGGAGAAAUUAGGACAAGUGUUGGGAUUUUGGACAAUUUUCAGUCCAACAUAUGUUUUAAUAUUAUAUUACAAAGUUCUCAUGUGAUGGUGCAAUAUAUAUUUUUUUAUAUAUUGAGUGGUUUGAAUCAUAAGGCAUUGGUUGAGUUUAAAAUUGAAGUAUUGAAUUAAGUGGUAGGGCCGUUAGUAUCUUGUUGUAUCUCAUUUCCUUUUGUUCGUCCAGUGUAUUUCAUAGAUUGAAAAUUCUUAUAUUAUAAACAAAAUCUAGAAAGACUAUAU